UUCCUCAGACUGAAUUGUGGUGCUAGGAUGUGUUUCAGCCCUCAGCAAGAAGAUAAGAGAGAGAAUGUUGCCUCUGCUGUGGUUUUAGUGUGUCCUGGGAGAUGCUUAACAGCUGAAAUAUGAGUCACCUAUUUCACUCUGGUCCCAGAGCGGCACUGUCAGGACCAACUGCUUGGACUGUCUGGAUAGGACCAACAGUGUGCAGGCCUUCUUGGGCUUGGAGGUGGGAACCCCAUGGAGCUCCUGCUGGGCACUGGGCUGGGAAAGUAGUGCCACCUUCCUGGGAAGGGCAGUGAACUUCUCGCAGGCUGCUGCAGGAGCCCUCUGAGAAGAUUGCCAAGUUCUUUCUCAUGGAUGGGGAUGUGGAAGAGAUCAGCAGUGAU